rnacentral:rRNA from 1 species
GACGAAACGUGCAAACGUUGUUCGGAAUCACUGGGCUUAAAGGGCGCGUAGGCGGGCCAGCCAGUCUGUGGUGAAAGCCUCCAGCUUAACUGGAGAAGUGCCGUGGAUACUGCUGGCCUCGAGGAGGAUAGGGGCAUCUGGAACGGUCGGUGGAGCGGUGAAAUGCGUUGAUAUCGACCGGAACUCCGGUGGCGAAGGCGAGGUGCUGGGUCCUUUCUGACGCUGAUGCGCGAAAGCCAGGGGAGCAAACGGG